rnacentral:rRNA from 1 species
GACGAACGCUGGCGGCGUGCUUAACACAUGCAAGUCGAACGGUAAGGCCCCUUCGGGGGUACACGAGUGGCGAACGGGUGAGUAACACGUGGGUGAUCUGCCCUGCACUCUGGGAUAAGCCUGGGAAACUGGGUCUAAUACCGGAUAUGACCUUGAACUGCAUGGUUCUUGGUGGAAAGGUUUACUGGUGCAGGAUGGGCCCGCGGCCUAUCAGCUUGUUGGUGGGGUAAUGGCCUACCAAGGCGACGACGGGUAGCCGGCCUGAGAGGGCGACCGGCCACACUGGGACUGAGACACGGCCCAGACUCCUACGGGAGGCAGCAGUGGGGAAUAUUGCACAAUGGGCGAAAGCCUGAUGCAGCGACGCCGCGUGAGGGAUGAAGGCCUUCGGGUUGUAAACCUCUUUCAGCAGGGACGAAGCGAGA